rnacentral:lncRNA from 1 species
GUCACUUCUGCGAUAUUCCUGCCAAAAAUGCAUCUCCGCAUUCCGAUCGUGAGAACAUCCUGGGCACACCCAAACUGAGAGACACCAUACAAAGUGACUGGUCAGUGCACUCAAAGGCAAAAAGCUCAUGGAAGGCAACAGAAGACAGGAGAAGUGACAGCUAAAAGCAGCGUGGAAUCCUGGAAGGGACAAAGAACACGAGCAGAGAAACUGUAGAAGCUGAGUGAGGGCAGCGGUCCAGCUUGCGCUGUUUUGCUGGGGUGAUUCUGGCUUUGAUGACCUUGUUUUGAGCCUCAGGUUUUCCUUAGGAUUCCGUGUGUGUUCCCCGCCUGGCCCCUCCGCAGCGACUCUGCUGUCAGUGGCUGCCCCAGGGUGGAGAGUGACCUACCUCCGGCUUCUCCUGUCCCGGCUUCUCCUGUGCCAGCCGGUCAGGCACACUGUAAGAUCCCCACAGCGGGGUGCCCCCACCCUCACCUGGACCCUACACCAUCACCAUCACACCUUCU